GGGGAAGUGAAAAAUUUACCGUCGGUGACAGGCUGACAGAUGUCUUUCUUCCUCAAAAAGCUCACUGCAGCUCAAACUAAACUUUCCUUGCACAAAAUUCAUUGGCUUUCACACAUGAAUUGGGAUAUGGAGAUUGAAGAAAUAGAAGCUGUUCUCGAGAAAAUCUGGGACCUUCACGACAAAUUGAGCGACGCCAUUCACUCAAUUUCCCGCACCCACUUCCUCAACU
rnacentral:misc_RNA from 1 species